rnacentral:rRNA from 1 species
AGGGCACCACCAGGAGUGGAGCCUGCGACUUAAUUUGACUCAACACGGGAAAACUCACCCGGCCCGGACACCGUAAGGAUUGACAGAUUGAGAGCUCUUUCUUGAUUCGGUGGGUGGUGGUGCAUGGCCGUUCUUAGUUGGUGGAGCGAUUUGUCUGGUUAAUUCCGAUAACGAACGAGACUCUAGCCUGCUAAAUAGGCAGUGGAUUAUUCGUCCACUGUACUUCUUAGAGGGACAAGCAGCGUCUAGCUGCACGAGAUUGAGCAAUAACAGGUCUGUGAUGCCCUUAGAUGUUCGGGGCUGCACGCGCGCUACACUGAAGGAAUCAACAUGCUUCUCAACCUUGGCCGGAAGGUCUAGGUAACCCGUUGAAACUCCUUCGUGAUUGGGAUAGGGAAUUGCAAUUAUUUCCCUUGAACGAGGAAUUCCCAGUAAGUGCGGGUCAUCAGCUCGCGCUGAUUACGUCCCUGCCCUUUGUACACACCGCCCGUCGCUACUACCGAUUGGAGGUAGAGCAGA